UUAUAGCAGACGGAAGGCAGUCGAAAGGCAGUUCGGGGAGAAUGUCGUACUUAAGAAGAGGCGAUUAGUCUCCCCAAAUCUGCCCUUGUGCCCCUGCCCUAAGUGUAUCCUCGGCCAGCAAAAAUAUGGCAAGUCAGAUUUGUUUUUGAUUAAUCACUGUUGAAAGCUUGUGCGAAUGGGAAGUGAUAUUUGGCGUUUGCAUUUACAUUGCUCUUGGAAGACAGGCAGUCAUCAGUCUGUAUGCAAAAAUAGUGUCUGGUCAAUACAAAUAACAGUUUCUGGGCUGGAACUAAUUAACAUGUGUAUAGUUUAUCUUGCUUGAUUAGCGGCACCACCCAAGACAAAAUAAAUAACCAUGGGUGUGAGAAGUUAAGCAAGAGUUCAAAAGGAACAGAGACAAAGGAGAUUGGAGCAUAACAAUGGAGAAGAAGAUGCGCUUUUGUAUGCUCUGUGUCAUUAGGGAUUUGAGAGCCUGUAUGGGAUUUGUGUUUUAUGCCAGUGGGUAUUAUUCUUGCACUGCAUGUAUAAGAAACACAAAUAAAAUGUACCUUUUCAAGCUGCUUGGUAGCUUCCACAACUUGAGAAUAAACGGAUACAUAACUUACAACCAUGAAGAUGCCAAAGAGGUUGUCAGUGUCGGACUGGGACACCAGGGGCCCACCAAAAGACCUUAGAUCAGGGGCCAACUCUCUGUACUAUUAAAAUUCCUCUCCUCACGCAA